AAGACUGCAAAGGAACUGUCAAAAUGCAAUGGAAACUAGAAGAGUUUUGAGAUGGCAAGAGUGGUCAAGAGAGCCAAAUGUUGCUGAGAGUUCAAGAGAAAGAGGUGAUUUUGUGCAGAAAUAGAUGAUACAGAAGAAAAGCAUUAGAAAGAUUCUAAAAAUAUCUCUUUGGUGAGAACUUUGCAAUCAGAACACCCCACAUCGCAUAGAAGGUUGUUACUGCUAUCCGUCCUUAAGGGAAAAACAUCACCGGUGUUAUGGCAAUGUCACUAGAGAGGUGUAAAGGUGAGAACUGAAAUGACUUUGGGAAAAGGUUUUGGAAGAUUGAGAAGAAAAAAGAGAAGUGGUGUCAUCAUGGCUCACUCACUGCGGUCUCAAACUUCUUGCCUCAAGUGAUGGACCUGAACUCAACUCAAGUGAUCCUCCUGCUUCAGCCUCCCAAAAAUGCUAAGAUUACAGCCAUAAGCCACCAUGACCAGUCCCUUUUCUUUUUUUUUAACCUUUUUAAAAUGCUCAUUUCUUUGUUCUCAUUGAAUCCUAAAGAUGGAUGUAAGUUAUGAUAAACUGCAUUGCUAUUCAUGUGAUCCUUUCCUUUCUACUGUCUCCUCAUCUCUUCAGAAAGGCAGCAUUUUUUUUGAGUUUAUAAUGAUAUUGAUAGCCAGUUUAAGUGCAACCGUCAGGAAGCAAUAUAAAAUCAAUUUAAAAUCAGUAGGUUUUAGGAAUCAUUUCUUAAAAUGGAGAUUUUUAAAAGAAUGUACAUGUAUGGAAAGAAUGAACUUAGAAUAUUUGCAAAUAGUAAUUAUAUUGACAUAGUAAGAAGGUGUAGUAGAGUAUAAAACUAUGGAUGCUAACAUAAUUAGAAUAAAACUGAUCACAUAAUUUUUUGAAACAGGUAUAUCUGUUCUUAAAUGUGAUGCUCACUUAUCAAAAGAGAAAAAUAUUUUCAACUCUUGUCAGCAGAAACUAAUUGUUGGCAUAUUUAAGGUAAAACACAUGGAUCCAAAAGCACAAUUACAAACUUUUCUGCAUUAUGAAAAAAUAAUAAAACUGGCUUCUCAAACACCAAUUUUUUAUUAAAAUCAAAAUUUCAAGCCAAUCAUCAAAAAAACAUGUUUUGUC
rnacentral:lncRNA from 1 species